CUUAUAAAUACAAGAAAGACGUUAUCAGUGCAAAAUCCUCCAGAAAAGAUCAGCAUCAAUGAAUAAAUGCAGCGUGCAGACCGGGAAGGAUGAUAAGUCAUCGGCAGCGGGACCAGAAGCAGACAAAGCUGGACAGACCACGGGUGUAGGAGCAGCGGGACGAGAGGGAGACAAUACGCGGCUGGAUGGAGCGCGGACGAACCCGGGAUGGCCGCGUUGGAGUGGGGGGACGGUGCAGGCGGACCGGAGGACAAGAGACUGAAAGACUGGUCGCCGUUGAGGAGCGGGAGGUUGGACCAUUGUCGAGGUUCACCAGGAACCGGAGGAUUGGUUGGAUCGAGCCAAGAAAGGGAUUGGGAGCGGUGGAGGACCGCGCCCUUUUCCCUUUGACCAGCUAAGAGUUCACAUUAUAGACUUUUUUUAUUGACUUAUUGUCAAGGACUGCCUGCACAUCCUUCUCUUUUUGAUUCUCUGUUUUUUAAAUAAAUUAUUGUAAAUUUUA